rnacentral:lncRNA from 1 species
GUAUAAUUCCCAGCAUUUCAGAGGUAGUGUUGGCUGAGAUUAGCAAGACUAACUUAAUAAAGCACUAUCGUAAUUGCAUAUUCACUGGGAAAGGGAAAAGUAAUCAAAUGAAAAAGGACAAAACCGGCAGGGAAAGAAAAUUUAUUUCCAAGCAUCUACGAGAGUGCUACAAACAAUAGAGACUAAAACUCAAAGCAUUUGAAACUUAAAAAACGUAGUUGACAAUGUCCUUCUUAAAAAUCAAACAUAAAAACGUAGAAAAUGCAGUUAUUAAUUCUAAAACUUGCUCAAUAGUGAAACAAGACCAGAUAGAUAGCAUCAAUGAGGAUGGAGUCCUACAAAUGACUUUUUGUUUUUUUUAUUUCCAUUUGUUAAUUUGUAAAUUGAUACUCAUUUCAUUUUUUAAUAUUCAUUUAAAUUUAAAAUGGAGAAAUGUGCAAAUCUAGCAAAAUAUUCUUUGGAUUAUAAACAGAGAAAAAUCAACAACCAAAGAAAUUUGAACCAAGUUAAUAAAGUAAACUAUAGAAUUAUAUAGAAUGCAUACAGCUAUAAUAAAGUGAAAUAUAACAAUAAACAUUAUAGAGCAAAUCUGCUGAUUUAGCAAACUCUGCCUUAUUAAACAUAGGGAUAUAAUGGGACAAGUGAAUAUGUCGUGAUUAUAGAGCUGAAACGUCAUUCAUAAUUUUAAUGAGUUAAAUUUUAAUCUAACUACAUACAUGGGGGUCUUCAGAAAAGCAGUACACCAACAGAUCAGAUUUCCUCUCAGAUCAAGCAGUUGGGUACCUGACUGCAAUUGAAGGACGGGGUCUGUAAAAUGAACAGUAGAAAAAUGGAUAUCGCUUCUAUUUAUUGCCUCUUCCCAUAUUGCAGCUGCUGAUCUCUGACCCUAAACAGCAAACUACAUUAAAUUUAGAAGAACUACAGCUGUACACAGAUGCUGAAAAUGUGGAUGCACGGAACAUAUUCCAAUCCCUCGCUCGUUCUGAACUAAUAUAAAAAAAGUUAUAGAUCAUUUUUCGAUUAAAAACAUACAUUACAAAGAACGACUCUGAAAGCACUCCGUAUUUCUGUCAUCACAAAUUAGAACGCCUUCCUAUCAGUGGAUGAACCUAUUCUACUGCAAUAAAUGAAAAAAUAAAAUGAAAUAAAAGUAAGUGCCAGAAUCUUAAUUAAUACUCAGGUAAGGUAAUUGUCAGGUAGAACAGUCUUUAGGGAACUUAUAGCUAAAUGGGGUCAGAUUUCAGUCUCUCAAACCCGCAGCUUAGCGCAGACAGGGAAAUCACAAGCCUGGAAUAGGCUGUAAGCACAGAGUACUCCCGUCCACUUAUCAAGUCAGUUCUGAAACCUCUGGAAUUUCUAAGAUAUAAGAUAAAUGCAUAUUACAUGGGACAUAUUUAAAAGUAUUACACUUAAUUUAAUCCAGAAAACACAGUAGUAUUAUAGGAAGAUUAUUACUGUGUUCUGGGAGCAGCCACAAGCUGUAGAUAGAGGGUACAAAAUGUUCACCAGACGUUACAUUUUUUUUCUUUUAAAUCUAAAAAACAUUUUUAAAAUGUACUUGAUUUUUAAAUAAUCACUUAACAAGGCAACAAACCAACUACAAACACAUAAUAAAUAAGGCUAUUAAAAGACCACAACUGUAGUAAAUUAGUCAGAACUAUAAAUGGGACAUUAGAAACACUAUGUUUUGUUCUUAUAUGCUUAAUAACCAGAACAAGAAUUAAAAAAAGAAUCAGUUUAUUUCAAAGUCUGCUUCUUAUAUUGAAGCACAUAUUAAAGCAACAGUACAAUGUUCAUAAAAUAUAAGUGUGAUGCUGUAACAUUUCUUACAUGUCAGAAUACUGAUAUUUGUAUGUAUACUAAAAUAAGAAUUUUAAAAUUGUACAAAUAGAUACAUUAAAAAUGACAUAGAAAUAGGGCGCCUCCCACUGCAACAAGACAGAGUUUUUAUAUCUGGCACGUAUUAGUUCAAGAUGAAAGUAUAAGCAAAAAGAUUUACAAGAAUCAGCUGUAACAAGUUUUGAUGCUCAAGAGACAUAAUAAUUGUACAUUGUACUGUACAUACAUCAUAUGGGUUUAAGCUGGCUGAAUAUUAUAUAUUUCAAGUUUAAAAAUGCACUACCAUAUAGAGUGUCCAUAGUUUAAGGCGAAAUUACAGCUCAGAACUGUUAACUUUUCUAAUUUGUGGAAGCUUCUUUGACAUAAAAGAUUUAGAUGUUCAUAACACAUAAAAGAUUUCCCUUAUUUGUGGGUUCACUUUUAGCAUUUUCCUUCAUUUAAAUAUUCUGUAUUUCUUAAGUGGGUUUUUUCCUCUAGUGAAGUUGGCAGCCAACUUCUGUAUUUGCCUUCUGUAGGAAAAGGUACUUCACAGUAUUUACCACUUUUAUGUCCUUUUUUAUCAAAGGAAUCCCUUCUGUCAAAUGUUUAAAUGAGACUUUUCUUGAUUUUUAAAAAAAUACCUGCUUACAUUUCUUCUGGAUUCUUCAGAACAUUGGACACAGUUCUUAAGGCCAAAUAUUAAACUUUAUUGUUAAGAAUCAUCAUCGAAAGUGUCUUUGGAGCCAUACAAGUCUGCAAGUUUCUUAAAUCGAGGUCCCCAGUUUUGUAGAUAGUCGUAGUCCAAAUCAGAAUCUGUUGUCGCUGACUCUAAUGAGCUAAGUGAACCAGCCACUGAGCCUCUUCCUUCAUAGCCAUAGAUCUGAAUAGAAUCAUACGGAGGAGCAGUUGGAUCGUUAUCAGCCUCUUGUAUUCUUGUGUUGAUGAAAUCAUCAACAUCAACGCUAUUGGGAGCUGGUCGAAGCCCCGGUCUUGGCAUAUACUGAUACUCAGGUUUUAUGUCUUUACGAGGAAUAAAUCCAUUGAUGCCAUCAGGGUUCUGCAAAGUAGCUAUGUCAAAAGCUUCAGUAUCUUCCUCUCCUCCUCCUUCAUCAUCGUAAGUAAUAAUGUUCUCGCGGACAUCUUCUUCUUCAAAAACAAUGAGAGGUUCUUUCUUCUGCCUUUUCAGUGUUACAAACAACACUACAAUGACAAGCAAAAUCACAAUGCAAGCAAGAAUGGCAAUUAAAGCUCCGGUGCUUAAUCCCGCAUUGAGUAUGUAGGCUUCGGCAUUACAGGAGAGCAAGGAGCCAUUGCUGUCACAGCCGCAGACUCGGAUGGUCAGGGUGUUGGUGCUGCUCAUAGGGGGGAGUCCUCCAUCACUUAUUACAAUAGGAAGAAGGUAUAAGUCUUGCUUUUGACGACUAAAUCCUUCGCGUCUAACAAGAACACUUGCAGUGUUAUCUCUGUUGUCUCUGAGGGUAAAAUUUGGAUUAUGAAUAAUUUCGGGUGGUAAACUGAAGAUAAAUCUUGGUCCAUUGGCUGAGUCAUCUUUGUCAUCAGCACUAAUUGUAAUAAAUUGCUGAUUGCUUCGAGCAUUCUCACAGACAAACGCUUCAUAGGCUGCUGCAAAUUUUGGAGCAUUGUCAUUGACAUCAACAACCUUAAUUGCAACUGGAACUUUGGCUUCCUGGUGUUGCUUGUGGACUUCAACAGCAAAGACAGAGAUAUUAUGCCAAGCAAUUUCUUCCCUAUCCAAAGCUUUUAUUGUCUUGAUGUUGCCAUCAUCUGCAUUAAUAGUAAAAUAUCUUUCAAGGUCAGUGUGACGAUCAAUUGAAUACCUUAUAGCACUGUUUGCAGCAUCAGGAUCUUUGGCAUGUACUUUUCCAACCACAGUACCAGAUGCUGCAUUUUCUUGUACUUCAAAAAUAUAACUUGGUUUUAAAAACACAGGCGGCUCAUCAGCGUCUUCCACUGUAAUCUUCACUGUUACUGUGUCCUUGAAUGGCCCAUUGCUGAUGAACUUUGGAUCAAUAUGCACGUUGGCUGCCUCUACCUUCAGGCUGUAGGACUUUUUGGUUUCAAAAUCCAAGACUUUCUUAAGCUUUACAACACCUUCCUGAGUCUCAUAGUCUGUUGUAAUUUCAAACAUAUCCAUGCCAUCUCCAUCAAUGAUGCUGUAAGCUACCAAGCCGUUUUCCCCAAUGUCUGGAUCUUUGGCCUUCACUCUUCCUACUUCCUCUCCAGGAACAGCUGCUUCUGACACAGACAUCUGGUACACACUCUGUGGAAACUUUGGUGGGUUGUCAUUGACAUCUGUAAGUGUAAUUGUCACUUUGGUUGUCCCUGAGAGGCCUCCCAUGUGUCCUCCCAUAUCUUUUGCCUGUAUUACAACGUGAUACUCUUCCUUAGCUUCUCUGUCCAUAUUUGGAAGGGCCGUUCGGAUAAUUCCUGUUUGAGCUUCCACUGAGAAGUACGGCUGACCUUCAAGAAUACUGUAAACCAAUUUGGCACUGUUCCCAUAUGUAGGAUCAUCAGCAUCUGAAGCUGUUACCUGAAUAACAGAUGUACCCACAUUUGAUCUCUCUGGCACAUUGGCAUGGUAGUUUUCGUGAAGAAAUUCAGGGGGGUUGUCAUUGAUAUCUUGGACUUUAACAAUGAAUUCUGAGGGCGGUUCCAAAGGUCUGUUGGUGUUCCUGUCUACAGCUUGUGCCGUGAGAGUGUACUGAGCUCUCUCCUCUCGGUCCAGUGUCUUUGUUGCAUGGAUGUUCCCUGAUUUGUCAUCAAUAACAAAAAUGAUUCCUGCUCCUUCACCUGAGAGAAUGUAUUUAAUGUUUCCAUCUCCAGAAUCAAUAUCUGAAUGAAGCCUUCCCACUAGUACAGGAUCUGGUCCUGUGUACUCUUCUAUAACAAAGAACUGAUUCCACACCCAGCCUCUUUUUGAACGAUGCAAAACUUGUCCUUCUUUUCCUUUUUCAUGGUGACCAUGAAGCGAUGGCCGUACGUGGUUUAGUUUUUCGGUAGUUAUGGCAUGGCUGUAAUAGAGCAUGCCCAGGCAGAUAAGAGCGGCAUGUAAACAAUUGUCCUCCUUCAUUUUUGGUUAUUUUGUAGGCACAGGAGUAUCCAAGAAUAUACCCCUUCCACCUUGGAAGUUAACAAGUUUCGGGCCACUGAAAAGUUUCAGAUAAAAUGUUCUGCACAUACGCUGCCACCGCACCUGGAAUGCAUCACUUUAAUGCUCUGCAGCUUCCCAACUUAAUUCCUGCCCGCCCGGCCCCGCGCUGCUGCCGUUAAGUUUGCUGCGCACCCACGCGCGGACACGCACGCAUCCUCCCGCCCGGUGCUGCUGCUGUUGCUGCGCGCUACGGGAGAGCAGCGCUCCCGCGGCCGCCCGUUCGCUCCGCCAAACCGACGCGGCUCCGCGCUGCUCCCGCGGCUCCGGGCAGUGCCUACCUGCGCGUCCAGCGGGGCUGGAGGCUUCCCGGGGCCACCUCCGGAGGAGGGGGAGAGGAGGCAAGUCCCAUUCACAACUAGACGCCGAGCAGAGGCGGCAGCAUCUUCAGCCUAUUACACUCCACCGGCAGCGGCUGCUGAAUGAGGCUCCGAGCUAGUGGCAGGAAUUAGAAAGAGGGAGGGAGGGGAAAGGGGUGAGGAAAGAGGAGAGGGAGGGAGAGAGAAGGAGCAAGGGGGAGCGAAGCGAGAUGAGAGGAAGGGAGAAGCUGGAGGCUGUUGCUUCUUCUCUAUUUCCUUCUCCCUUCCCCCCAGCCCAGAGGGAAGCGAACCCCCGAGCCCGCCCAGGGGCCGCGCCCCGGAGUGCCCGCGACGGGAGAAGCGCAGCUGGGGGAGAGGGGCUGCGGAGCCCACACACGCGCGCACGGCUCUGCUCGGCUGCUCUCGGCCUCGCGGGCACCCACGCGCGUCCACGAGGGGACGGGGCCGCCCACCCCGCUGUGCCGACGGGACGUGCCCCUUCCCAACCCUGCCGCCACCCCUCUGCGGACGGCUCGGGACCACCCCACGGCAGCGCCUCCGCGGGUGGGCCCGAGCCCACGCAGAGCCCUGGGCACGGCCGACAUCACGGGGCUCUGCUGCCCGGACACACCUCGACACGGACAUAAAGCACCUCGGGUGGACGAGCAGCAGGAGCGCCGUGUGCUGAACGCACUCGCGUUUCCUCACAUAAUUACACAUUUCUCCAGGAAAAAAUUAAAACUUUCCCAAGCUUUUUCUACACAUGGAAGAUCUCAGCCUGCGCAGCCCAGAGCCCUCGAGACGCAGGGGUGAGCCCUCCCUUCCUUACACGAAGGUAAAUCUCGGGGCACGCUGCCCAGGUGGGGCAGAGCCGCUCGGCUCCUGUGUGGCAGACGCCCUGUGCCAACCCAGCGGCACCACAGCCACCCCCCGCCCCGCCACCACACAGGCACACACCGGCCUGCGAGACGUGCUCAGCUCCCUCACGGCACCGAGGUCCGCUCACUCGGAGGCUCAACACAGCGCAGGGAGGGAUGUGAUGCACACACAGCCCAUCGAGAAUCAGUCUGGAAAUGGCCAGGUGCACCUCUGUGAAAAGAAUCUGCCUGUCCUCAGGCAGCCCGCCUGCCCGCCCGCUCAUCCCCCACGCCACCAGGCAGCACUGCUCCGCGAUCGCACUGCUCAGCCCUGAAGAACAAGGCUUUUAUAUGCUGUGGUUAAUUAGCUCUGCCAAUAACUCCAGGCAAAGAAAAAAAAAAAAAAACUGGCACAAAAAGCUCCCACUGUACAAACAAAGAAUUUGGAAGGAGGGAAGCUGAUAAACAAUGCAUCCCAGGGAGGCCGGCAGGCACUGAACUCAGCCCAGCAAGCAGCAAGCACCAGGGCCUGGUGUCAGCCCUGGGGAAGGAGCAGCAGCUUCCUCCUGUCUGCAGGGCUGGGGAUUGAGAAUUAAAGCUACCAUUUGCUUCAGAGAGAUGCUGAGAGUUCCCAGUUCAUCCCACGGAGGAAGCAGGGCCUGCCUGCAUCCUGAGGAAGCCUGGGGUGCCCUGACAUCCAGGCCCUGAGCAUGGUGCCCACCAGCCACAGGGACAGCAGAUGCUGCAGGGAGCUCAGAGCUUGGGGCUGGCACUGGAAACACCAGAAAUACCCUGGGCUGAGCUGAGAGCGUGAGGUAACCAGACAGCUAAUUAACUGAUACUGAAGUACUAAAGGCUUUAUUUGGAUAGGAAAAAAGCUGUGGUGGUAAGAGAACCAGCUCCAGGGAACAAGUGGUUUUUGAUAGGAAAUGUGAAGAGUAAUAAAUUACUAUCGAGAAAUAAAGCAUGAAAAGAAUAGCAUUUGAGAAAGUUUUUGAGGAGAAGUAGCUGAGGAAGAGAGGUGAUGCACACUAAUUUAGAACAGUUUGUCAAGAAAUUGGUUUUGGAGAGAAAACAUGAGAGGAACGGAAACAUCUCAAAAUAGUUUCAUACAAUCCCAGCCCAAACCUAUUGACUUCAGUGUGUCAUCAGUCUCCUGUGACAAUAAUAUGAGAAUUACCAUUUGUUUUCUUUAUGGGCACAACGCAGCAGCUCUACUUAGCACAGCUCUGCUGCUGGGGCUGCCAAAAUCACCACUUCACUGAAGCCCAGGCGCUGGGCAGUUGGCUGAAGAAUUUUCCCUUUUUCCCUUCUCCUGCUGGCUUCAGCAGCACAGUGGAGGGGAUGACUUUUGUAAUUCCCUUUUUCAAACUGCUGAGAUCAGGGUUUUUUUUGGAUAUAAAGGAAAUGUGAAAGCAAUUUCAAUCUAAUUAAGCAUAUACAAUAGGUACCCAUAAUAUUCUCUAGUCAAAGAGCGUAUUGAUCUAUAAUGGAAGGUUUCAUUAAUUCCAUUUGAGGAGGCAUGUUAACAAAUGAGGGCAGUAACAUCUGAUCUGGUGAGUGCCUCGAGUUUCCUCUCUUCUUUCUGCACUAAAAUCUCAGAAUUAAGCUAACCAGAUCAAAUAUUAUUUUUCUUUUAUUUGUCCAUCUUCUUAUAGGACCUACGGAUGGAAGGUCCUAUCUGCACAAUUAACGCAGAACUCCUACUGAAAUCUGUGUGUUUGCACCACUCUGCUGAGUUUCAAUUCUGACUACGUUAAUAAUUAGAAUUGUACGUAAUGUCAGUAAGAAGAAGUCCCUCUAUCCAGAUUGGGCCACUAGCUGGAGAUACCACUCUCUAUACACUGAAAGUUCUCAACCACUAGCUUACACUGGAAACCUGCCUACAACCAUCUGAAGUUAGAUGAGAUGAGUCCUGCUUUUUAUGUUAGAUACAGAAGAAGAAAGAAGUCGUCAAACCAAAACCAAUAUGUGGUGCUGAUAGAUGAGGACAUUCACCAUAUUCCCUUGACUACAGAUUAUAUUCAGGCAACAACCCUGCCAUAAUUUCAGGAAAACAACUGCAGAGUCCUUGCACAAGACAUGACAGCAGUUCACAUAAAGAGAAACAGGCAGGGAGGAAGGGGUAACCAGGAACAUCCACAGAAAUACACAGCUGAAGUUCUAGCAGCCCAGUGCUCAAGUGUGCACUCACAACGUGAUAGACAGAGAACUUCACAGACUGCCCAAGUCGUGCCUUGUCAUUCCUAUCACACAUAAAGGUGAGGAAAAGAGGAUAAACUAUUGCAAAGUUCUGUGUUUGCAGACCAUUUCUCCUGACUAGUAACUCUUCACCUGUAAAGCCUUAGGCUAGAUACUACCUUUAUGAAGGUCAUGUCGCAGCCAAUGUAAAUUCAUUGUGGACAGUAUCAGAAUAAACCCAGCUUAAAAUGGGAAAUCCUUCCAAAUACAAUCACCACCUGUCUUUACAAAACAUUUACAUGUGGAACAAAAAGCAGGCCUCAGCUAUCCUGCCGCCCUGGAAGUCAUGGCAGAGCAGCAGGGGUGUACAGGAAGGUCUGCAGUUACCACUUACAGAUGCUUGAAACCUGGUAGCAAAAUGCAAUCAGUGUUAGACAUAAAUAAAGGAAGUUUAUACAUAUUUUAAACAGUACCUAUUUUUGGAUAUCCAUAUAUUUAGGUUAAGAACAUCUGUGAUAACAGAUCUGCGAAACCUAAAAAAAAAAAGAUUCCUUUACCUACUGUGGGCUUACAGAAUCUGAAGUUAAAAUCCUGCUCAUUGUUUGGUAAGUUAACUCAUUUAUCAUUUCAAAAUAAGCUAGCUGGUUUGCUUCCUCAGUAUCUGAAGGGGUACAUGCACUUCUGCUAAUUGAAUCAUUGUUCUUGGAAACACUGCAGCUGAGUUCAUGAAAUACACAUAAGCAGGUGUAUCGUAAGUUUAAGCUGAGCAUUUGUAUUAGAAUUCAUAUGGAAAACCUUGAACUGUGAACUUCAGAAAUGGAAGUCCAAUAAGCCUUCCACAGUUCAAAAGAUUUCAUCAGCGUCUCAUUUACUGAAUACCUUAGGCACACCAACACAAUAAAUGUGAAAGAAGACUCUUCUUUCCAUGUUUUGACCCUCUUUUUCCAGGCCCUACAAGCUGUUUUCCCAUAUGACUUCAACUACCUUCAAAAGACCUGUAAUUUCCUUCACUUUUCUUCUCGCUUGGAAAGUAUUUGAGAUUUUAAAGGGCAUAUUGCUAGCAGCAGGAGCUGGGAGUUCAGGAAGAAGAGAGACGGUGAAAAAGAAGUAUAGAAAAGAGUCAUAGUAAAAGAUAUUCCAUAGACUAAACAACGUGUUUGUUCCAAACGUCCUUCAAAUUCAGAAACAAAGCAAAAUUUGCUUCCUACGUGAAAAUACAUAAAGCAGGACUGAAGGAGAUAGGAAAAAAAAUCUUCCUAGUGACCCUAAAAGAGGGAAAACUAAUGAAAGCCACAGUACUAGCACACUGAGAACACAAGUAUGCAAAAGAUGAAUGUAACUUACAAAAUGUGCAUCUUAUAGAAUGUACAGUUCAAAACAACCAUUAUCUAAAGCUGUAUUUUUGUGUGGGUUUUUUGUUGUUUUGUUUUUUGUUUUUGUUUUUUUUUUUUGUUUUGUUUUUAAUAAAAACCUCUUCCUUGUGGAAAUAUAAGAAUAUUGUUGUUAUAACAACAAAGUAUUGUUACGUUCUGAUAUCCUUGGGAAAGGUUAAAACAAAGGCAAAAACACCAAAAAAAAAAAAAAAAAGUGCAAAACAACAGAUAAAGAAGCUAUCUCCACAAAGAUAACAAUAUACCAGCAUAUUCCUUGAAGCACUGAAACCUGGAAAGAAAAGGGGAUUUUGAAGUAGGAAGAGCCAGCGAACUAUGGAAAUACAAAUGGGUGCUCCAUAGUUUUGUUUUGUUUUCAUUCCAGAUGUACACAUGGACCUUCCUUUCAACGCACCAGCUCCAUAGAGAAAUCAUCAGCUUGAAUCACCUAUUCCAAGUGGUACUCAGGACAGAACUCUCACAAGCAGGAUUGAUGACAUAUCAAGCAGGAUUGAUGGCAUAUCCAAAUCCAAAUUUGGAGUUUGGUUAUUGCCUUUAUCUGUCUACUGCAAGAAAAGGCCUCAUUCCUGUACCAGAGCAAAAGAAACUUUCCUUUUCUUUCCUUUAAACUACUGAUAGAGUCUGGUCUGAUGGCAUUCCACAUUUUAACUCACCUUCAUAAUGAAGAUAAAAUUCCUCAUUUUCAGUCAAACUCAAGUGGCCAGACAUGGGCCACAGGAUAACAAUGUGUCUAUCCAUCAAAGACAGCAAAACUGAAUCCAAAUUCGUUCAAGCUGCAGUAGAAGAAAAGUCCAUUUUCCUCCAGUUUUCAGAGAUCUUUUAAAGAUAGGUCUGGUUUUAUUAAGACCUUGAUGAGAGGAGCUCCCUUGUUGUACAAAAUCUAAGGAAGUGGUUUGGCAGGUACUGAGCAUACACAAUUAGAUAUUUCUAUCAUUCUCUGAACUUUGAGACCAUCUUACCCUGAACAGCCCUGAGGAUAUUUUGGGACUAUUUUGAUCAGUUUUAGAAACUGCCAUAGCAUCCUGGCCAUUGUGCCACUUCCUCAGCUCUGCUGCAAUGUACGUAAGACCAGGCAGGACUGGACUAGUUACCUGUUGUGUUGUGAAGAGGUGUGUCAAGCUCAGGAAAUUUCCAAGGGCAUCCAAAAAAGCCUUUUAGUUUCCUUGGGUUACAGAGCAGGUUCAAUCCAGGAUCAAGCUCCAGAUGGGUUGUUUGUACAGCACUGAAAAACAUUAUCAAAGAAUAGUAUUAAUAAAGACGUUAAAUUUAAAACUACUACACACACAGAGUCUGCUGACCAAUGCAGAUCUGAACGAUAGAAUAUUUACAGUUACAACCUAGCACCCCAAAAUUACGGCAUAGAAGUAUUCAGAGGGAGGAAAAAGGGCUCGAAUGGUAAGUCAGAAAAUCUUCAUAAACAUUGUGAUGUAUCAAUGGCUUUCACUAAUGGGUUUUUAGAAAUACAGAUCAGAAAAUUAGAUUUCUCACUUAAUCAAGGUAUUAUUUAGUUAGGAACUUCAGGCUCAUUUAUUUCUGGCACUGCACAUCAAAAAAAGAAAUGCAUUUUUAUACAUGUGUGUAUGUACACACACCUGUGCAUAUGGCACUGUCUGAAUGGGUUGUCAAGAAGGAUGAGGACUUCAAAUAAAUUCCUCUAUUCAGCUUCUGGUUUUAAUGGAGAAGAUAGCUUAUAUAAUUUAUUCUAUUAGAAAACAAGUUGGAAAAAAAAUCACUACAUCUACCUGCACAGCUUCAACACUCG